GACGAACCGUGCGAACGUUAUUCGGAAUCACUGGGCUUAAAGGGUGCGUAGGCGGGUUGCCAAGUCUGUGGUGAAAUCCUCCGGCUUAACUGGAGAACUGCCGUGGAUACUGGCGACCUCGAGGGGUGUAGGGGCUUGCGGAACUGUGCGUGGAGCGGUGAAAUGCGCAGAUAUCAGGAGGAACACCGGUGGCGAAGGCGGGUCUCUGGGCCGUAACUGACGCUGAGGAGCGAAAGCGUGGGGAGCGAACAGG
rnacentral:rRNA from 1 species